AUACGGAGGGUGCGAGCGUUAAUCGGAAUUACGGGGCGUAAAGCGCGCGUAGGCGGUUUGGUCAGUCGGAUGUGAAAGCCCCAGGCUCAACCUGGGAAUGGCAUUCGAUACUGCCUGACUAGAGUAUGGUAGAGGGAAGUGGAAUUUCCGGUGUAGCGGUGAAAUGCGUAGAUAUCGGAAGGAACACCAGUGGCGAAGGCGACUUCCUGGGCCAAUACUGACGCUGAGGCACGAAAGCCAGGGUAGCGAACGGGAUUAGAAACCCCAGUAGUCC
rnacentral:rRNA from 1 species